GAUGAACGCUGGCGGCGUGCUUAACACAUGCAAGUCGGACGAAGCACUUUAUUUGAUUUCCUUCGGGACUGAUUAUUUUGUGACUGAGUGGCGGACGGGUGAGUAACGCGUGGGUAACCUGCCUUGUACAGGGGGAUAACAGUUGGAAACGGCUGCUAAUACCGCAUAAGCGCACGGCAUCGCAUGAUGCAGUGUGAAAAACUCCGGUGGUAUAAGAUGGACCCGCGUUGGAUUAGCUAGUUGGUGAGGUAACGGCCCACCAAGGCGACGAUCCAUAGCCGACCUGAGAGGGUGACCGGCCACAUUGGGACUGAGACACGGCCCAAACUCCUACGGGAGGCAGCAGUGGGGAAUAUUGCACAAUGGGCGAAAGCCUGAUGCAGCGACGCCGCGUGAGCGAAGAAGUAUUUCGGUAUGUAAAGCUCUAUCAGCAGGGAAGAUAAUGACGGUACCUGACUAAGAAGCACCGGCUAAAUACGUG
rnacentral:rRNA from 1 species